rnacentral:rRNA from 1 species
UACAGGCUUAACACAUGCAAGUCGAGGGGCAGCAUGGUCUUAGCUUGCUAAGGCCGAUGGCGACCGGCGCACGGGUGAGUAACACGUAUCCAACCUGCCGUCUACUCUUGGACAGCCUUCUGAAAGGAAGAUUAAUACAAGAUGGCAUCAUGAGUCCGCAUGUUCACAUGAUUAAAGGUAUUCCGGUAGACGAUGGGGAUGCGUUCCAUUAGAUAGUAGGCGGGGUAACGGCCCACCUAGUCUUCGAUGGAUAGGGGUUCUGAGAGGAAGGUCCCCCACAUUGGAACUGAGACACGGUCCAAACUCCUACGGGAGGCAGCAGUGAGGAAUAUUGGUCAAUGGGCGCAGGCCUGAACCAGCCAAGUAGCGUGAAGGAUGACUGCCCUAUGGGUUGUAAACUUCUUUUAUAAAGGAAUAAAGUCGGGUAUGGAUACCCGUUUGCAUGUACUUUAUGAAUAAGGAUCGGCUAACUCCGUGCCAGCAGCCGCGGUAAUACGGAGGAUCCGAGCGUUAUCCGGAUUUAUUGGGUUUAAAGGGAGCGUAGAUGGAUGUUUAAGUCAGUUGUGAAAGUUUGCGGCUCAACCGUAAAAUUGCAGUUGAUACUGGAUAUCUUGAGUGCAGUUGAGGCAGGCGGAAUUCGUGGUGUAGCGGUGAAAUGCUUAGAUAUCACGAAGAACUCCGAUUGCGAAGGCAGCCUGCUAAGCUGCAACUGACAUUGAGGCUCGAAAGUGUGGGUAUCAAACAGGAUUAGAUACCCUGGUAGUCCACACGGUAAACGAUGAAUACUCGCUGUUUGCGAUAUACGGCAAGCGGCCAAGCGAAAGCGUUAAGUAUUCCACCUGGGGAGUACGCCGGCAACGGUGAAACUCAAAGGAAUUGACGGGGGCCCGCACAAGCGGAGGAACAUGUGGUUUAAUUCGAUGAUACGCGAGGAACCUUACCCGGGCUUAAAUUGCAGAUGAAUUACGGUGAAAGCCGUAAGCCGCAAGGCAUCUGUGAAGGUGCUGCAUGGUUGUCGUCAGCUCGUGCCGUGAGGUGUCGGCUUAAGUGCCAUAACGAGCGCAACCCUUGUUGUCAGUUACUAACAGGUUCCGCUGAGGACUCUGACAAGACUGCCAUCGUAAGAUGUGAGGAAGGUGGGGAUGACGUCAAAUCAGCACGGCCCUUACGUCCGGGGCUACACACGUGUUACAAUGGGGGGUACAGAGGGCCGCUACCACGCGAGUGGAUGCCAAUCCCAAAAACCUCUCUCAGUUCGGACUGGAGUCUGCAACCCGACUCCACGAAGCUGGAUUCGCUAGUAAUCGCGCAUCAGCCACGGCGCGGUGAAUACGUUCCCGGGCCUUGUACACACCGCCCGUCAAGCCAUGGGAGCCGGGGGUACCUGAAGUGCGUAACCGCGAGGAGCGCCCUAGGGUAAAACUGGUGACUGGGGCUAAGUAA